AAUAAAAUGACUGAGAUUAGGUGCUAAACUGUAAAUUUAGAUACGAGUGAUAACUCUUUUAUU
rnacentral:tRNA from 1 species